UGUGCUGUGUUUCCGUUGACCAUUACUAACUGACAAUGGUGUUUUCUAUUGUCGGUUAUGGUGGAUUGGACCAGGAGUGCUUCAUAAAGGGUGCCCAAAGGUUCUUCCUGACUCAGCUCCUUGGUGUCCCAGAUAGAUGAUACUGGAUAGUCCACACUAUAGGCUGCUGCCGAGGGUUGAUGAAAACCAGGUCAAGUCCAAUUAGACCUGGCGGCGGCGUCCAUUGGGAAAUUGUUCCUGAUGUGACCCAGUUAUUUGCAACGGAAGCAACGUAGUUCGUUGUCGGCCUGUCGUGGGUAGCGAGGGUUAGAAGCUACCGGUCUGCUGAGGGGUUGGUAUCUGGUCACUGGUGGGUUUGCCGGUACCAUUGGUCACGUUGGUUGGACCCGUGGUGCGACCCGUGUGGUCUUGCGAGUACCCGCAUACUCAUCUGCUAACUUGGCGGCCUCUGGUAGAGAAAGGGGUCUGCGGUCUCUCACCCAGUCUUUAAUAUCUGCCUGGAUGUGGUCAUAUAAUUUUUCCAGGAGUAUUAAUUGUAAAAUAUCAUCCGCGGUGGUGGCUUGGCUGCUGUUGACCCAGUUAGAUGCCGACAGGUGUAACUGGCAGGCCCAUUCUGUAUAGGAAUCCCUGUCCGUUUUACGUGAGUCUCUGAACUUUUGUCGGUACGAUUCCGGGGUUACCGCAUAACGAGCCAGCAGCGCUUCUUUAACCCUUGAGUAGCGGUCCACUUGCGUAGCUGUGGAUCUCGGUGUGGAGCUUUGCCUGACAACUUCCCUGCCAAUAUCGAAACCCAUUCGUCCGCAGCUACACUGUGCAGGUUACACUGCUGCUCGAAAUCUGCUAAAUAACUGUCAAUCUCGCUGUCCUUCUCAUUAAAGGCUUUAAAAGCACUGAAAAGAUUUUUUCUUGUGUCUGCUGUGCUGUACUCGCUGUUUGGGGAGUUUACUGCUGCCCGCUGGGCUUCCACCAGUUUCAGUUGCAGCUCUGUUUCUCUCUUUUGUUUAGCCUCUUCCGCUACAAU